AUUGACCGCUGGCGGCAGGCCUAACACAUGCAAGUCGAACGAGUGGCGGACGGGUGAGUAAUGUCUGGGAAACUGCCUGAUGGAGGGGGAUAACUACUGGAAACGGUAACUAAUACCGCAUACCAUCAGAUGUGCCCAGCUGGGAGUAGCUAGUUGGUGGGGUAACGGCUCACAAAGGCGACGAUCCCUAGCUGGUCUGAGAGGAUGACCAGCCACACGGGAACUGUGACACGGUCCAGACUCCUACGGUAGGCAGCAGUGGGGAAGAUUGCACAAUGGGCGAAAGCCUGAUGCAGCCAUGCCGCGUGUAUGAAGAAGGCCGUCGGGUGGUAAAGUACUUUCAGCGGGGAGGCGUUACCCGCAGAAGAAGCACCGGCUAAAUCCGUGCCAGCAGCCGCGGUAAUUC
rnacentral:rRNA from 1 species